rnacentral:rRNA from 1 species
CCCUACGGGAGGCAGCAGUGAGGAAUAUUGGUCAAUGGCCGGAAGGCUGAACCAGCCAAGUCGCGGGAGGGAAUAAGGCCCUAUGGGUCGUAAACCUCUUUUGUCGGGGAGCAAAGGCGUCCACGUGUGGACGAGAGGAGAGUACCUGAAAAAAAAGCAUCGGCUAACUCCGUGCCAGCAGCCGCGGUAAUACGGAGGAUGCGAGCGUUAUCCGGAUUUAUUGGGUUUAAGGGGUGCGCAGGCGGUCUGUGAAGUCAGGGGGCAAAGCCCGGGG